UAGAGUUUGAUUCUGGCUCAGAUUGAACGCUGGCGGCAUGCCUUACACAUGCAAGUCGAACGCGAAAGCGGGGCAACCCGCAAGUAGAGUGGCGAACGGGUGAGUAAUACAUCGGAACAUAUCCAGUAGCGGGGGAUAACCUAUCGAAAGAUGGACUAAUACCGCAUACGAUCUACGGAUGAAAGCAGGGGACCGCAAGGCCUUGCACUAUUGGAGUGGCCGAUGUCGGAUUAGCUAGUUGGUGAGGUAAAGGCUUACCAAGGCGACGAUCCGUAGCUGGUCUGAGAGGACGAUCAGCCACACUGGAACUGAGACACGGUCCAGACUCCUACGGGAGGCAGCAGUGGGGAAUUUUGGACAAUGGGCGCAAGCCUGAUCCAGCCAUGCCGCGUGAGUGAAGAAGGCCUUCGGGUUGUAAAGCUCUUUCGGUGAAGACGAAACGGUUAGUGCAAAUAACACUGACUACUGACGGUACUCACAGAAGAAGCACCGGCUAACUACGUGCCAGCAGCCGCGGUAAUACGUAGGGUGCAGGCGUUAAUCGGAAUUACUGGGCGUAAAGCGUGCGCAGCGGUUUGCUAAGACAAGUGUGAAAUCCCGAGCUUACUUGGGAAUUGCGCUUGUACUGGCAACUAGAGUGUGGCAAAGGGGGUGGAAUUCCACGUGUAGCAUGAAUUGCGUAAAUAUGUGGAGGA
rnacentral:rRNA from 1 species